UUCUUCUUGUAAGCAGUGGAGAAGUGCACCUCGGCGGUACUAAAUCAACACCAUAUAUCAUUAAAUUAAAACCAUGGAUGAUUUACCAACAUCAUCGAUAAUCAUAAUCAUCAACAAUUAUAACCUAUAUCAGCAUAAUGAUUUGUCCUCUCAAUAUUUUCACUUUCAUAAGGAAUCUAAACACAGACUCUUCAUCUGUUGGCUAGUAUUGUGUUUGCUUUAGAGUAUUUUGGUAAAAGAACAUCUGGUUUCUUCCUCUCUUGCUAUGUUGCAGACUCAGCAGCUUCUUCGUUACUUCUCAGUCGCCUACCACUUGUGUCUACCUAAUUCGAAGUAUCAAAUUCAUAAUUGUCAAAAGUCACGGAUUUCGCAAGUUCAUUUAGGAUCAUACGGAUAGCUAUUCAAUUAUAAGAAAUCAAUCUCUUGUACUAAUUUGACAUUUUUCAUUGUGUUAUCACUUAAUUCUGUAUUCAGUACAUUCUUCCUAAACUAGUUGAAAAUUUAUCAAGAUUUUAACUGAUUACAAGUCAAGUUUACUGGAUUGUAAUCGUCUAUUUAUUCCA